CAGUCGCCGCGGGAAUACGAAGGGUGCAAGCGUUACUCGGAAUUACUGGGCGUAAAGCGUGCGUAGGUGGUGGUUUAAGUCCGUUGUGAAAGCCCUGGGCUCAACCUGGGAAUUGCAGUGGAUACUGGGUCACUAGAGUGUGGUAGAGGAUAGUGGAAUUUCCGGUGUAGCAGUGAAAUGCGUAGAGAUCGGAAGGAACAUCUGUGGCGAAGGCGACUAUCUGGGCCAACACUGACACUGAGGUGCGAAAGCGUGGGGAGCAAACAGGAUUAGAUACCCCUGUAGUCCCUGUCUCUUAUAC
rnacentral:rRNA from 1 species